rnacentral:rRNA from 1 species
UACGUAGGGAGCGUGCGUUGUCCGGAAUUACUGGGCGUAAAGAGCUUGUAGGCGGUUUGUCCCGUCGUCUGUGAAAACACACAGCUCAACUGUGAGCUUGCAGGCGAUACGGGCAGACUUGAGUACUGCAGGGGAGACUGGAAUUCCUGGUGUAGCGGUGAAAUGCGCAGAUAUCAGGAGGAACACCGGUGGCGAAGGCGGGUCUCUGGGCAGUAACUGACGCUGAGAAGGGAAAGCGUGGGUAGCGAACAGG